rnacentral:tRNA from 1 species
CCUUAGCUCAGUUGGCAGAGCAACUGACUCUUAAUCAGUGGGUCCAGGGUUCGAAUCCCUG